UACGUAGGGUGCAAGCGUUGUCCGGAAUUAUUGGGCGUAAAGAGCUCGUAGGCGGUCUGUCACGUCGGCUGUGAAAUCCCGAGGCUCAACCUCGGGUCUGCAGUCGAUACGGGCAAACUAGAGUAUUGCAGGGGAGACUGGAAUUCCUGGUGUAGCGGUGAAAUGCGCAGAUAUCAGGAAGAACACCCGUGGCUAAGGCGGCUCUCUAGUACGGUACUGACGCUGAGACGCGAAAGCGUGGGGAGCAAACAGG
rnacentral:rRNA from 1 species